UACGGAGGGUGCGAGCGUUGUCCGGAAUCACUGGGCGUAAAGGGCGCGUAGGCGGUCUGCUAAGCGUGCGGUGAAAGCCUGGGGCUCAACCCCAGGUCUGCCGUGCGAACUGGUGGACUUGAGCACUGUAGAGGCAGGUGGAAUUCCGGGAGUAGCGGUGGAAUGCGUAGAGAUCCGGAAGAACACCGGUGGCGAAGGCGGCCUGCUGGGCAGUAGCUGACGCUGAGGCGCGACAGCGUGGGGAGCAAACAGG
rnacentral:rRNA from 1 species